AGUGAACGCUGGCGGUAGGCCUAACACAUGCAAGUCGAACGGCAGCACAGUAAGAGCUUGCUCUUACGGGUUGCGAGUGGCGGACGGGUGAGGAAUACAUCGGAAUCUACUUUUUCGUGGGGGAUAACGUAGGGAAACUUACGCUAAUACCUCAUACUACCUACGGUUGAAAGCAGUGGAUCUUCGGACCUUGCGCGAUUGAAUGAGCCGAUGUCGGAUUAGCUAGUUGGCGGGGUAAUGGCCCACCAAGGCGACGAUCCGUAGCUGGUCGGAGAGGAUGAUCGGCGACACUGGAACGGAGACACGGUCAAGACGACUACGGGAGGGAGCAGUGUGGAAUAUUGGACAAUGGGCGCAAGCCUGAUACAGCCAUACCGCGUGGGAGAAGAAGGCCUUCGGGUUGGAAAGCCCUUUUGUUGGGAAAGAAAAGCAGCAGGUUAAGACCCCGCUGUUCUGACGGUACCCAAAGAAUAAGCACCGGCUAACUUCGUG
rnacentral:rRNA from 1 species